ACGUAUCCAAACCAAUGUCAUUUGUUUGCGGUGGUGUGGUUGAUGUUCAGAUGAACAUAGCUAACGAGAAGAUUUUAGUACUUUGGGAAUCAAAGAAGAGACUUUUGUUUGCACUGCAAUGUUUCACUGAGCCUGAUACGAUUCACCAAACGUAUUAUAGGAAGAAACCAGAGCCACGUCAGCUGAGUAUUAUUGAGAAGACUGAUGACGUGGAAGUGGUGGAAUCAAUUAGAGUCUUCGCAAAGAAAGAAGGAAAGAAGAAAGUCUCUGAUUGGGAAGGAGGGUUUGCAGUUACGGAAGAAGAAGGGAAGGAAGGGGCUUUAAAGAGCCGUUGAAGCUUUCUUCCCCAUUCAUGCUUAUUCUGAAUUGUGAUUUCUCAGGUGAUGUGCUUGAGGCUCUGGUGAUGUGCUAGAGUUUGAUCUAUGUUGAUCAUUGUUUCCCUUUCAGAUUAAGUUUCUCCUUUCUCAGAUUUGCUAAUUACAAUCUCUGUAAUUGCAGAUCUCUUGGCUGAUCAUAAAUCGGAGUGUGUGAGAGAGUUGGGUGAUCGAUACUCCUAACAUUGGUGCGGUGAAACUGGGUUUGGGACGAUCGUGAUGGCUACGAUGAGUGAAUCUGAGGUGUUUGAGAGUGAGGAAUUUUUUGCGAAUGCGGAUGCGAAUCAAUUGCAGUUUUUGCAGGGUGGUUUCAAGCGUUUGUGUCUCGCGAAGGUUGAACAGGGGGCGAAGCUUGAUUCGUUGGAGGAGAUGUUGCGAUCUGUGAUGGCGUCGUUGGGAAAGUUGGAGAAGAGCGCUGGAAAACAACAUGAACUUCCGGAGCAGCUGUCGCCGUCUCCGGGUGUGUCUUCUUCGUCCGAUCACCGUUCGCAACGUAUGGAUAGUGGAAAUCUACCGUUGGAGAACAGAUCUAGCUUGUUGCGCAAGAUCGAGAUGCCGGUGUUUGAUGGAUCACAGCCGUAUGAGUGGUUCUCGAAGGUAGAAAACUUUUUCCGUGUGGGUCGUUAUACGGAUUAUGAUAAACUGGAUUUGGUUGGAUUGAGUCUCGCCGGUGAUGUGUUGAAAUGGUUUAAUUGGGAGAUGUGUCGUAAUGAGUUUCGAUCUUGGGCUGAGUUCCGUCGUCGACUGUUUUUGCGUUUUGGGGUUGCCAUUGGUGACGAUCCUGGUAAUCGUUUAUUCGCGCUAAAACAGCGUGGUACUGUGGCGGCUUAUGUUUCGGAAUUUGAGGAUUUGUCUGUCCAGGUUCCUAAUCUUGAUGAUUCACAUUUGGAACAGAUAUUUUAUAAUGGUUUGAAGCAGGAGAUGCAGGAGGUAUUGAAGAUGAAAGAACCACAAGGUUUGGAUUACCAGAAAGCUGCUGUUCUGAGAAUGGAAUCUAGUUCUUUUUGUCAAUUGAUUAGUGAAAAAAAAACACCGUUUGGGCACCAGCAGAAGACAUAUCCAGUUCGUUACAAUUCUCCUGUGCCUAAACCAGUGGUGCUUACAGGGAGUUCUUCUUCUUCUACAAGGGCUACCAAUUUGAAACCACCAGAGCAGCGUCAUACAGCAGAAGAAUUGGAUGCUAUGCGUAGUAAACGCAUCUGUUUCAAGUGUAAGGGGAAUUAUUUUCGGGGCCAUAACUGUCCUCUGCGGGAGUUGCGUGUUUUGACAGUGGUGGAAGGUUUUGAGUUGGAGGUUAUAGCUGAGGAUGCUGUCGAAGAGUUCGAGGAUACUCCCAUUCAAUCUCCUGUUUUGUGUAGUUUGUCCCUUAAUUCAUUCUUGGGCAAACAUUCUUAUCGCACAACGAAGCUCAAAGGGGUUAUUGGAAAGUAUACAGUGGUGAUUUUGUUGGAUUCUGGAGCAUCUCAUAAUUUUAUAACUCCUUCUGUGGCCAAACGUUUGAAGUUAGCAGUCAGUACGGAUAAUAAUUUGGAGGUUAUGUUGGGAAAUGGUGUUUCUGUUCACGGUUCUGGCAUCUGUAAAGGGGUCAAAUUCUCUUUGGGAAAUGUGGAAUUUCAGAAUGAUUUUAUCUCUUUGGACCUUGGUGGUGUGGAUAUUAUUUUGGGAGUUCAAUGGUUGGAGACAUUGGGUAAGUGUGAAGUUGAUUGGAAGUUACAAGAAUGGCGUUUCACUUAUGCGGGUAAGACAGUUACUUUGGUUGGCGAUCGCUCUUUACAUGGGCGUGUUCUGUCUCUUAAACCCCUUGUCCACUCUCAAUCAAUGUUAGCUACUUGUCACGAUUUUCCUUUAGCCAACACUCCUUUGUUGGCUGCCACCAGUCCUUUGGAUCCGGGUUUGUCGCCAGUUUUGGAUAGUCUUGCUGCAGUUUUUGCUGUUCCAUCUGGUUUACCUCCCAUGCGAGGUUUAGAGCAUGCUAUUACUUUAAAGCCAGGUGUACAGGCUAUUACAGUGAGGCCAUAUCGCUAUCCUCACGCCACUAAAACAGUGAUGGAACAAAUGGUGGCUGAGAUGUUAUCCAGUGGUAUUAUUCGUCCUAGUACUAGUCCUUUCUCUAGUCCUGUGCUUUUGGUUAAGAAAAAGGACGCUUCUUGGCGGUUUUGUGUAGAUUAUCGUGCCUUGAAUAGAGCGACAGUGCCGGAUAAGUUUCCUAUUCCUGUCAUCGAUCAGUUACUCGAUGAGUUACAUGGGGCUGUGAUUUUCUCAAAAAUUGAUUUGCGCUCCGGGUAUCAUCAAAUUCGUAUGCGAGAUAGUGAUAUACACAAGACAGCUUUUCGAACAUUGGAAGGUCACUACGAAUUUUUGGUAAUGCCUUUUGGCUUGACCAACGCCCCAGCCACUUUUCAAGCUUUAAUGAACAAGGUUUUCCGUCCUUAUUUACGCCAAUUUGUGGUGGUUUUCUUCGAUGAUAUUCUUGUUUAUAGUGCAAGUUUGACAGCCCAUGUGCAACAUUUGGAGUUGGUUUUACAGUUACAGUUGAUCACCUAUUUGCUAAUCAAAAGAAGUGUCUGUUUGGUGUUCCACAAGUUGAAUAUCUUGGUCACAUUAUCUCUGCUGCAGGCGUUGCCACAGAUGCAGCCAAAACCGAAGCUAUGUUAGCUUGGCCUACUCCUACUAAUCUCAAGCAACUUCGGGGUUUUUUGGGGUUAACGGGUUACUAUCGCAAGUUUGUUCAAGGGUAUGGCAUGAUAGCUAAACCUUUAACGGAGUUACUCAAGAAAGAUCAGUUUUUGUGGUCCCCUGUGGCUCAGGUUGCGUUUGAGGAUCUCAAGCAUGCUAUGGCUGCAGCACCUGUAUUGGGGCUACCUGAUUUUGACAAGGUAUUUACUAUUGAAACUGAUGCAUCUGGCACUGGCGUGGGAGCAGUGUUAACACAAGAGAAACGACCAUUGGCCUAUUUCAGCCAUGGUUUAACCGCUCGGGAACAACUGAAACCAGCGUAUGAACGGGAAUUGAUGGCUAUUGUUAUGGCUGUGCUGAAGUGGAAACAUUAUCUUUUGGGGCGGAAAUUUGAGGUUCAUACAGACCAGCGGAGUUUGAAGUUUCUCUUGGAACAAAAAGAGGUGAACAUGGAGUAUCAGCGUUGGUUGACUAAGUUGCUCGGUUUUGAUAUGGACAUUCUUUAUAAGCCUGGGGUAGAGAACAAGGCGGCAGAUGGUCUCUCUAGGAUUCCUCAUUCGUUGGCUCCCUCUCUUAUGGCAGUCACUGUUCCAUCUAUCAUUCAACUGCAGGACUUAUACAAAGAGAUUGAUGCUGACUCCACUAUUCAAACGUUGAUUGCACAACUACAGAGUACUACUGCUCCGGUACGCCAUUACACAGUGGUGAAUGGCCGUUUGUGGUAUAAAAGGCGACUGGUGAUUCCCAAAUCUUCUGUGUUUAUUCCUUUGAUCUUACAUGAGUUUCAUGCUACUCAAGUGGGUGGUCAUGCUGGGAUUUUGAAGACAUUAAAGCGUAUUCAAGCAUGUUUUCAUUGGGAGGGAAUACAGAAAGUGGUUCAAAAAUUUGUUCUCCAAUGUGCUGUCUGUCAAACACACAAGUAUUCUACUCUUGCUCCAGCAGGGUUGCUUCAACCUCUGCCCAUUCCUACAGCUAUUUGGGAGGAUUUAUCUCUGGACUUUAUUGAAGGGUUGCCCAUGUCUGGUGGGGUGAAUGUGAUAUUAGUGGUGGUGGAUCGUUUGAGUAAAUAUGCUCAUUUUCUUGGCCUUAAACACCCAUUUAAGGCUAUUGAUGUUGCUCAGAAGUUCAAUUCCGAAAUUGUGCGACUUCACGGUUUUCCAAAAACAUUGGUUUCUGACAGAGAUCGCAUUUUUCUGGGAAAACUGUGGACUGAACUGUUUCGUUUGUCGGGUACUACAUUGAAGUUUAGUACUGCGUAUCACCCUCAAACGGAUGGACAGACGGAGGUCUUGAAUCGUUGUUUAGAAACAUAUUUGCGUUGUUUCGCUUCCAGCCACCCGCGUGCUUGGUAUAAAUUCUUAUCGUGGGCUGAGUAUUCUUACAACACGUCUUACCACUCUGCUCUUAAGUCCACCCCUUUCAACUUGGUCUAUGGUCGCGAUCCACCGCAAUUACUUUCCUUUGAGCCGGGUUCUACUACUAACUGGGAUUUGGAGGUUCAAUUAAGGGAAAGGGAUAUGAUGUUGACUCGGAUCCGCGCAAAUUUACAACGGGCUCAGGAUAUUAUGAAGAAGAACGCUGAUAAGAAGCGUCGUGAGGUCGUGUAUGAGGUGGGUUCUUGGGUUUAUCUGAAACUCCAACCCUAUCGCCAAUUGACUGUGGUUCGCCGGAAUUGUCAUAAGUUGGCUGCUAAAUUUUUUGGCCCAUUUCAAGUGGUGGAACGCAUUGGCGCUGUCGCUUAUCGUUUGAAAUUACCGGUCACGGCUAAAAUUCAUGAUGUCUUUCACGUCUCUCAACUGAAGGCCGUUUUGGGUGAUCAUCAACAAGCUCAGUUCACUGAUCCUCCAGAACUGGUCGAAGACGAGUUCUUGUUUCCAGCCAAAGUUUUGGACGUUCGUUUCAACUCCACAGGCGGACGCGAGUUCCUCAUCCAAUGGCAUGAUCGAUCCGUGGAGGAGAAUUCCUGGAUGUUGUCAAAGGAAUUCGUCAGUUUGUUUCCUGAUUUCAAGCUUGAGGACAAGCUGGUUCUCCGGGAUGGGAGUAUUGAUACGAUUCACCAAACGUAUUAUAGGAAGAAACCAGAGCCACGUCAGCUGAGUAUUAUUGAGAAGACUGAUGACGUGGAAGUGGUGGAAUCAAUUAGAGUCUUCGCAAAGAAAGAAGGAAAGAAGAAAGUCUCUGAUUGGGAAGGAGGGUUUGCAGUUACGGAAGAAGAAGGGAAGGAAGGGGCUUUAAAGAGCCGUUGAAGCUUUCUUCCCCAUUCAUGCUUAUUCUGAAUUGUGAUUUCUCAGGUGAUGUGCUUGAGGCUCUGGUGAUGUGCUAGAGUUUGAUCUAUGUUGAUCAUUGUUUCCCUUUCAGAUUAAGUUUCUCCUUUCUCAGAUUUGCUAAUUACAAUCUCUGUAAUUGCAGAUCUCUUGGCUGAUCAUAAAUCGGAGUGUGUGAGAGAGUUGGGUGAUCGAUACUCCUAACAGAGCCACAGGGUUUGUAUGUGGCUGUUAGAUGCAUUGCACCAUCUGCUCCGGAACUCGGUAAGCUUGCGUACUUUCUCUUCUACUCCAUGGAUGGACACUCUCUUACUUAUAAGUCUCCAGACGUGAAGAGAGUUGUUGAACUGAGCUCUGAAACCCCUCAAGACAAUUUCAUGUUUGUCCCUCACUCUCUAUUGCGUGGUGAAUCGUUGGAGAUGAAGAUUGCCAUUGGACUUAAGGUUUAAUUCUGCUAGGUCAUAAAGUGACUUGCGUUGAAAUAUUUAUGUUUUGGCCUGAUAAA
rnacentral:lncRNA from 1 species